GUUUUCGUCAUUUUCAAUCAUGUCGCCGUCCAUACUACUAUCUGCUAACGUUACCGCCAUCAAGCCGCAAUGAUUUGCCACGAAUGAAUGCCGCCGAAUCUGCCGAGUUGUCUUGUAGUGGUGCGUCAAGUGCAACGCAGCCUACCGUAUAU